AACCUGAAUAAUAAGAUAGAGAGUCGGGCUAGGCCCCUUUGGAUCACAAGUUUUGUUUCAUGUUUCUGACAACCGACGUUCAUUAACAUACAACUAGAAAUUUGAAAUUGAAGCUCGACAUGAAGUCAUCUUAAGUUGAGAAAACAAAAGGUGUAUAAGAGUUAUUACUACAGCGGAAGUCUAUAUAGAAAUUGAACCUUAGCCUCACUCAGUCCCGUCAGCACCGGCCAGCCAACCUGAAAACAUUUGAAAGUAUUUUUGGGCUAAGUACUAAUGUACUCAGUGGGCAUGCAUUUUCAUAAAUAUUUCAUAUUUUCGUAAAUACAGUUUAUCCAAUCAUACUUGACAUAACUUAGAAGGUUUUAAAUUGAAAUAACUUCUAAGCAUGUUAAAAUAAUUUCUUUCAUUCGUGCGCACAUGUCACACUCCCUUUCCGUUACUCGCUGUGAUCCCGGACCUUUUAGCCACCGACGGAUCCAUUUCUCCCAUUGCACUUGCCCUGAGGACGUAACUCAGACAAGUUAAAUUGACCUCGGGACGCUACCCAGGCAGGCCUUACAUGAUACAUGCUCCGGAACACAUCCCGUCGAGCACCCUUAUAACGCCUCUGGCCAGUGCCCGAUGGAGAUCAACCCACCAGGUCAGCUAGCAUGUGUACACGAUUCUCAGACAACGUGUUAGGUCAUAAGAGAACCUCAAUUGAUUAACUUUGCGAGCCUUAAACAGAGCAGAGUGCACAUAAACAUUUUAUUGGAUAAACAGUUUCAUUUCAUUAAUAAAUAAUUUGCAUUUAAUUUAAACAUUUAGAGCUUAAUAACUCAAUCAUACUUUAUACAUUUGGAAAGUAAGCCCACCUGGUUAGGCAAAGCCUGAAGAUCAUAACAACAUAAACCUGUCUUGAGAGAGCAGCGCUAAUCCCCCUGGUCACAAAGCCUACAAGAAAUUCUAUUCUUAAUAGGUCUCGUGAAGCUAAUCUUACUUCUUAGUGGAUGUACUAAACAUUUUUGAAUCAUCACGCCGGGUUUCCAAAAUUUAAUAAUAAAUAUUUGAAAACUAAAAUUCUUGAGUCAAGGAUACCAACAAUAUCCUUACUCGAUUUUCUUUAUUAAUUGGAUAACCAAUUAAAUCAUAAAUACUUUUAUUUGCAAAAAUGCAUAUGCAAAUUCGUUUCAUGCUUAUUCAUAUAAUAAGUAAUUAAAUUCAAUAUAUGCACAUAAUAAUAUCAUAAUUAUCAUGCAUCAACCCUAAAAUAAUUAAAUGAAGGCCCAUUUUCCUUAUGAAAUUCACAGCCCAAAUAUUAAAAGCAAAAUGACCCAAUUGAUUAAGUAAGGGCAGCCCAAACUUAAAUAAAUGAAUGUGGCCCAACCAAAUUAAUAGCUAAAACCCAGCCCAAUACUGACUUGGCCCAAAGACUCAAGCCCAUACUCAAACCCAUCACUCUAGCCCUAAAUUCUUUUUCCUCCUUCCCUUCUUCUCAAACACACGCACACACGCACACACGCACACGACUCACACACACGACCCCUCUCUCUGCUUCUCAAAAUCUGCUCCUCCACCGACGAAAUCCGCCGCCGCCCGAGCUCGCCGGAACAAUAGCGACAGCCACUGACACCAUCGGUUCUUCCCCUCUUUCGGACCUCCGGUGAUUUCAGCAGCGAUCAGCCGCCGCUCGACCUUCUCUUUUUUCAGAACCCGACGGCCGCAGCAGCUGAAGCUAGCCACCGCCGGUCCGCCCCUCUCCCUCGAAUCUCCGGCCGCCGCCCGUAGAUCAGGCGACGCCGCCUCCGACUUCUCCCAGCCCGUUCGUCUCUCUCACAAUCCGCGACACUCCUCUCUCUGACUCGACUCGGCAGCAACACAGUCGCCACCGGAGCUCUGCCUCCCUCUGCUCUCUCUCAAACCUCCCGGCGACAGCAACCCGUGGCCGCCGCCGUUCUCUCUUUCCCCUCCACUCAAUUCCGGUCGACAGCAGCGAGGGCUGCCACUGACCACCCUAGUCCCUCGCUCCGACUGACAGCAACAGGGCCGCCCGCCGGAGCCCUAGGCUCGGCCUCCCCUGACUGACUCUCUUCUCUCCCACAUAGACGCCCCCUGCGCCGUCUCCUUCCUUGGCAGCGGCGGAGUCGCCGCCGCCUCCCUCGAUCCCUUUCAGACCCGACACACGACAACGACUCCCACCCGACAACAUCAACGGCUCAAGCACAAACAAGUUCAAGACUCCGACUUUUCUCUUUUCUUCUUUUCUAUACAUUCACCGAAUAUGUAAAAUCAUUUGACACUUUGAUAUAAACACAUGCGUGUAUGCACAGAAUAUGUAUGCAUAUAUAUAAUAUGAAUGUCAUUUUUCAAAAGUUUGAAAUGUGUUGCUGUGUAUAUAUCGAAUUUGUACAUGAUUUGGACAAGUUUGAAGCUUGAAGCACGAUGUAUGAACAGAGGUAAGCAGAGAAUAGCUGGUGAAUACCUUGUGAGAAAUUUAAGUGAGUAUUUGAUCCUAGUUGCUUGCUGGAAAGGAGAAUGGGCUAGACGGAUGUUCUUGUUUCAUCUUGGCUUUGAGUUUUCCCUCAUGAAAAUGAAUUUGCGUGGAUGAAGGAAAGAGGACCUUUGGUUGAAUGUUGCUGCUGUUUUCUUUUGUUCUAAGUAUUGUAGCUUUUUCUUGAUCGUGUGAUAAUUUGGUAAAUUCUGGAAUCGUGUGUGAGGUGAAAUGGAAAGCAUGGUUGAAAUAACUUAUUGAUGAAUGGG
rnacentral:lncRNA from 1 species